GCCUCUGUGGCAUCUCCGUGAGCUGUAAAGAAUAGAGAGGAAUUCUGCACUUAACCUCAAGGACAGUUUGGUUGGUUUGCAUCCCAGCCUUUACUAGCUCACAUUGUUUUAUAUCAUGCAGUAUCAAAAGAAAAAGGCAUUGGUGGAAGAAGAGGGGCUGCCUGACAAACUGGUGCCUGACGUGGCAGUGCAUGUGAAGCAGAGAUGCUGCACUGAACUUUUGGCAUUUCUCAAAUGAAAAUUACUACUUUAUCAAGACCUACCACUGGUCUUUAUUAGUGAGGUCUCACUUCCUUAAUGACUGCCUGACAAGUUGUUCACUCAUGAUCUGAUGGAUUUGUUCCCAAAAACCAGCAUGCAGCUCCCAAGCAAUGAUAGAAUAUGUAUCCUCUUUUUGAACGUACGUCUAUUAUACUUUUGUUUCCAUAGAAAAAAAAGUGCUAAUUACUCCUGUUUAUGUUAUUAUUCUAAGAAGGAUCAUUUAUUUAUUUAUCAUAUGCAUUAGAGUUUCAAUAAUUUUAGUCCUCAUUUUACCUCUACUAUAUUUAAAAUGUCUUGUAAAAGGGAUUUAAUAAUGAUUUUCUGCCUUUCCCUGUGAAUUACUGGUAUGCAACUUGGUUAAAGUUCUUAAGCUUUCAAAGUAAUUGAAAAGUUGAGUUGAAUCUAGGAAGAAUUAACUACUGAUAUUUUUAGAAAAUAAAUUAAAGCCUUUCUGCCUUUCAGUAGACCAGCCUUCUGAAUAUCCUUUAAGAGCUGUACGCAGCAUCAGUUUUAGAGAGUGUUCUCACUAAUGUCAGCCUUUUGAAUUUCACAAGGUAAUUUUGACUGCAACAAGUAGAAAAAAAUCCCAUCAUUUUAGUUGACAGCAUUCUGCCAUGUAGUUAAGUUUUAUUUAAACAGAGGCAUGAUUUUACUGAAUAAGUAUAAUGAAUCUUGCAGUACUUUAUGCAAACAUAUUUUAUGCCAGAUAUUGUCCUUCAAGAGCUAUUUCAGUCUGAUAAUUUCUUUUGGUUGAACGUAAUAUGGCUGUCCCUAUAUUUUAAUGAGAAAUAUGCCUUCUCUGAAAUUAUCCAGUUUCAUGCUUGAGUUUAUCAUUGUGAUGUACUCACACCAAAACCUCUAAAUUGUGUGUUAAGUGCAUUUGACUGUCAUAGGAUGCAGACAUUUGUACAGUGUCAGAGUUCUGUCCCAUCCAUACAGUGUAGUUUCUCCCCAGUGAUGCUUGUGAUGAGCACAGGAAAAAAUAAAAAUAAAUAAAUAAAAAUAAUAAUAAAAAACCCACCCACAAAACAUUUCUAGUAUUUUUGCUAUAAAACAAGGCUUAUUUCCUUUCUCCUGUGGCCAACUAUGUGGAUUUCAUACUGCUAGGAUUAUUAUGAGAAAAAAUCCUUGUCAGUUCUGCCCCUUUGAACUCCUCUUUAGAGCUCAAUUCAAACUAAGGGAGUAGCAAAAAUGUUUCCAGUCAUCCUAGAUGACAACAUCGUGCCAUACCAGGAAGUUUGAUCUAAAAUGAGACUUACUAGCUUACUGAAAAGAGAGCGCAGGCAAUGAAUUAUUCAGAGCUUCUAGUCAUCAGCCUUCUUUUAUACCAUGUUCCAUCCCAGGAUAGAUGGUUCAAGCUCAAGUACUAUAUUUGUCAAAAGUAAACUAAACCUGCUGCCCAAAUCCCACAAUGGCAGUGUUAAACUGUUUGUAUAUUGUUAUGGCUGUCAGUUAAGGCAACUAAAGCACAGAAAUUCUGAGCAGGGAUGUCCCCAUGUUCUUAACUCAUCCCCUUGUGUUUUCACUUUGCAUGAACUCAGAAAACAAGCAAUGUUGCAAGAAUUACUGAGGCUGCAACAACACCUAGGCACAGGGGAAUCCAUUCAGAAUAGCGUCAGUGAUGCAGCAGUAACUCUAGAUUUCCUCUGUUUGUGUUUAAUUUAAAACAUUAUUUGUAGACUUUUUUUUUUUCUUUUGUAGACAGCAGAGAGAUUUUAUAAAUGCAAAUCGCAUGGCCAUCACUUGGAAGUUUUAAACAAGAGACUCUAGUUUCUUGAUGUGAUACUUCACAUGAUCCCAUUGGAUUUAAAACAGAAAAAAUUAGCUCAGUGUUAUUGUUACACAUACUGUUUUUUGUGAUUUUUACUCUUUUCUUCAGUUUGCUUGUAUAAAGAGACUAUUUAUUAAAACAAUUAAGAAAGAUAAAGUCUGCUCAAAUGAAC